rnacentral:rRNA from 1 species
UACGGAGGAUCCGAGCGUUAUCCGGAUUUAUUGGGUUUAAAGGGUGCGCAGGCGGGAUGUUAAGUCGGCGGUGAAAUUUUGCAGCUCAACUGUAAAAGUGCCUUCGAUACUGGCUUUCUUGAGUGUGGAUGAAGUAGGCGGAAUUUGUGGUGUAGCGGUGAAAUGCUUAGAUAUCACGAGGAACUCCGAUUGCGCAGGCAGCUUACUAAGCCAUAACUGACGCUCAGGCACGAAGGCGUGGGGAUCAAACAGGAUUAGAUA